GAUCCUGGCUCAGGAUGAACGCUAGCGGCAGGCUUAACACAUGCAAGUCGAACGGUAACAUUGGUGCUUGCACCAGAUGACGAGUGGCGCACGGGUGCGUAACGCGUAUGCAAUCUACCUUUUACUGAAGAAUAGCCCAGAGAAAUUUGGAAUAAUCCUUCAUAACAUCAUUUAUCAGCAUUGAUUUAUGAUUAAAGCUCCGGCGGUAAAAGAUGAGCAUGCGUCCUAUUAGUUUGUUGGUGAGGUAACGGCUCACCAAGACUACGAUAGGUAGGGGCCCUGAGAGGGGGAUCCCCCACACUGGUACUGAGACACGGACCAGACUCCUACGGGAGGCAGCAGUGAGGAAUAUUGGACAAUGGAGGCAACUCUGAUCCAGCCAUGCCGCGUGCAGGAUGACUGCCCUAUGGGUUGUAAACUGCUUUUAUAUAGGAAGAAACACUCCCACGUGUGGGGGCUUGACGGUAUUAUAUGAAUAAGGAUCGGCUAACUCCGUGCCAGCAGCCGCGGUAAUACGGAGGAUCCAAGCGUUAUCCGGAAUCAUUGGGUUUAAAGGGUCCGCAGGCGGCCUGUUAAGUCAGAGGUGAAAGCCAACAGCUCAACUGUUGAACUGCCUUUGAUACUGAUAGGCUUGAGUUAUUGUGAAGUGGUUAGAAUGUGUGGUGUAGCGGUGAAAUGCUUAGAUAUCACACAGAAUACCCAUUGCGAAAGGCAGAUCACUAACAAUAUACUGACGCUCAUGGACGAAAGCGUGGGGAGCGAACGGGAUUAGAUACCCCGGUAGUCCACGCCG
rnacentral:rRNA from 1 species